AAGUCGUAACAAGGUUUCCGUAGGUGAACCUGCGGAAGGAUCAUUAAAGAUUCGACCUUCGGGUCUAUCUUCUCUUCAGCUGUGCGCUUCGGCUGCACGCUGUUGAAUCUCACACACCUGUGCACACUUCGGUUGCAGUUGGUUAAUUCUGGCUGCUUCCGCUUUUACAUUUAACUACAAAGUCUAGAAUGUCUAAUACUAUAAAAAUAACAACUUUCAACAACGGAUCUCUUGGCUCUC
rnacentral:misc_RNA from 1 species